GGUGGAGCCUGAAGUUUCCUAUGCCACCAUCAGCUACACCAAGAAUAGCAACAGUAAAACCCAGGUUCAUCGUGAUGGUGAAGGUGAUACUGUGACCUACAGCAUGGUGAAUGCUCCAUCCUCUGCAUCCACUGCUCAUCCCAGCAACCUCUAUUCUACUGUCAAUGUUGCAAUCACAUAGCUCACACAGUUGGAGGAAGGACUCUUAUUUAAUGAAGCAGUCGAAUAAAGGACUCGUAUUUAA